ACAACUUUCAACAACGGAUCUCUUGGCUCUCGCAUCGAUGAAGAACGCAGUGAAAUGCGAUAAGUAAUGUGAAUUGCAGAAUUCAGUGAAUCAUCGAAUCUUUGAACGCAUCUUGCGCUCCUCAGUACUCUGAGGAGCAUGCCUGUUUGAGUGUCAUUAAA
rnacentral:rRNA from 1 species